rnacentral:rRNA from 1 species
AACCGGGGGAACUGAAACAUCUAAGUACCCCGAGGAAAAGAAAUCAACCGAGAUUCCCCCAGUAGCGGCGAGCGAACGGGGAGCAGCCCAGAGCCUGAAUCAGUGUGUGUGUUAGUGGAAGCGUCUGGAAAGGCGUGCGAUACAGGGUGACAGCCCCGUACACAAAAAUGCACAUAUUGUGAGCUCGAUGAGUAGGGCGGGACACGUGGUAUCCUGUCUGAAUAUGGGGGGACCAUCCUCCAAGGCUAAAUACUCCUGACUGACCGAUAGUGAACCAGUACCGUGAGGGAAAGGCGAAAAGAACCCCGGCGAGGGGAGUGAAAAAGAACCUGAAACCGUGUACGUACAAGCAGUGGGAGCACGCUUAGGCGUGUGACUGCGUACCUUUUGUAUAAUGGGUCAGCGACUUAUAUUCUGUAGCAAGGUUAACCGAAUAGGGGAGCCGAAGGGAAACCGAGUCUUAACUGGGCGUUAAGUUGCAGGGUAUAGACCCGAAACCCGGUGAUCUAGCCAUGGGCAGGUUGAAGGUUGGGUAACACUAACUGGAGGACCGAACCGACUAAUGUUGAAAAAUUAGCGGAUGACUUGUGGCUGGGGGUGAAAGGCCAAUCAAACCGGGAGAUAGCUGGUUCUCCCCGAAAGCUAUUUAGGUAGCGCCUCGUGAAUUCAUCUCCGGGGGUAGAGCACUGUUUCGGCAAGGGGGUCAUCCCGACUUACCAACCCGAUGCAAACUGCGAAUACCGGAGAAUGUUAUCACGGGAGACACACGGCGGGUGCUAACGUCCGUCGUGAAGAGGGAAACAACCCAGACCGCCAGCUAAGGUCCCAAAGUCAUGGUUAAGUGGGAAACGAUGUGGGAAGGCCCAGACAGCCAGGAUGUUGGCUUAGAAGCAGCCAUCAUUUAAAGAAAGCGUAAUAGCUCACUGGUCGAGUCGGCCUGCGCGGAAGAUGUAACGGGGCUAAACCAUGCACCGAAGCUGCGGCAGCGACGCUGAUGCGUUGUUGGGUAGGGGAGCGUUCUGUAAGCCUGUGAAGGUGUGCUGUGAGGUAUGCUGGAGGUAUCAGAAGUGCGAAUGCUGACAUAAGUAACGAUAAAGCGGGUGAAAAGCCCGCUCGCCGGAAGACCAAGGGUUCCUGUCCAACGUUAAUCGGGGCAGGGUGAGUCGACCCCUAAGGCGAGGCCGAAAGGCGUAGUCGAUGGGAAACAGGUUAAUAUUCCUGUACUUGGUGUUACUGCGAAGGGGGGACGGAGAAGGCUAUGUUGGCCGGGCGACGGUUGUCCCGGUUUAAGCGUGUAGGCUGGUUUUCCAGGCAAAUCCGGAAAACUAAGGCUGAGGCGUGAUGACGAGGCACUACGGUGCUGAAGCAACAAAUGCCCUGCUUCCAGGAAAAGCCUCUAAGCAUCAGGUAACAUCAAAUCGUACCCCAAACCGACACAGGUGGUCAGGUAGAGAAUACCAAGGCGCUUGAGAGAACUCGGGUGAAGGAACUAGGCAAAAUGGUGCCGUAACUUCGGGAGAAGGCACGCUGAUAUGUAGGUGAAGUCCCUCGCGGAUGGAGCUGAAAUCAGUCGAAGAUACCAGCUGGCUGCAACUGUUUAUUAAAAACACAGCACUGUGCAAACACGAAAGUGGACGUAUACGGUGUGACGCCUGCCCGGUGCCGGAAGGUUAAUUGAUGGGGUCAGCGCAAGCGAAGCUCUUGAUCGAAGCCCCGGUAAACGGCGGCCGUAACUAUAACGGUCCUAAGGUAGCGAAAUUCCUUGUCGGGUAAGUUCCGACCUGCACGAAUGGCGUAAUGAUGGCCAGGCUGUCUCCACCCGAGACUCAGUGAAAUUGAACUCGCUGUGAAGAUGCAGUGUACCCGCGGCAAGACGGAAAGACCCCGUGAACCUUUACUAUAGCUUGACACUGAACAUUGAGCCUUGAUGUGUAGGAUAGGUGGGAGGCUUUGAAGUGUGGACGCCAGUCUGCAUGGAGCCGACCUUGAAAUACCACCCUUUAAUGUUUGAUGUUCUAACGUUGACCCGUAAUCCGGGUUGCGGACAGUGUCUGGUGGGUAGUUUGACUGGGGCGGUCUCCUCCUAAAGAGUAACGGAG